rnacentral:rRNA from 1 species
UACGUAGGGGGCAAGCGUUGUCCGGAAUCAUUGGGCGUAAAGAGCGUGUAGGCGGCUCGAUAAGUCUGCUGUGAAAGUCCAGGGCUCAACCCUGGAAGGCCGGUGGAAACUGUCGGGCUAGAGUCCGGAAGAGGCGAGUGGAAUUCCCGGUGUAGCGGUGAAAUGCGCAGAUAUCAGGAGGAACACCCGUGGCGAAAGCGGCUCUCUGGGACGGUACUGACGCUGAGACGCGAAAGCGUGGGGAGCAAACAGG